rnacentral:lncRNA from 1 species
AAAAAAAAAGGAAAGGGAAAACCGAAGUUCGCGCUGGUCAAUCUCCAUCCUCCUCAUUUUGUUCUUCUUCAUCAAUUCAUUUGAUCUCCCCUCCAGCCAUUGCGCUUCUAUAGCAAAAUCCUCAUAGGAACCUUGUUGAAAAUUUGGACAUGAACCAAAAAUGCUAUGGAAGCUUUUGUGCAUGCCCAUGAUCCCUUGAUAUAAUGCAAUUUAUUGUUGAUUUUGAUAGUGUUGUUCUUGCAAAAUUGCAUCUAUCUUUGGUUUGAUGGUUCCUCUAUGGGAAGGUUAGGAAGAUGGACCAACAUCUUCAAACUUCUUCCUUAGCUCAUCUUUAGCAUAUGCAAUGCUUCAUUCUUUGCAAUAAGUGUGGACGUAGGAGACAUUUAAUUUUAAUUUUAAAGCCAUAACCUCCCCAUAUGGGCUAGGUGCUUGUUGGUACCUACAAAAAUUAGUAAUAAAGGAAGGCAAAAUCAUAGAAGAUACUCCCCUUGUGAUGCAUUCUAAAAUUGCAUCAAAAUUGAUGGCAGCAAUGUCUACGGAGUCAUCUUAAUAGAUUGAGUUGAUGAGUUUGGCUUUGUCAAUUGUGAUGUCUAAAACAUGUACAGAUAUCCAAAUGUUAGAUAACAAAAAAGUGGUCCAUAUCUGAGACAUCUGAGUCAUGCAAAACUUGAACACUGGACCACUUUUGUUGACCUACAGUCCUUGCAGGCAUAGGCUUCUUCUAACCAUAGCUUCAUCAUGUCCUACUCAUUCAACAGAUAAAGUUGCACUUAUCUUUUCUUGGUAAGCACAUAAGUCGUGUUCAUUACUUGGAUAAGGAGUACAUGUGUUGUCAAGGUAGUCAUUAAUCAUGUACUUAUCAUAAUAUACUUGUUCUCCAUUAACCCAUAUAUAUCGAUUUGCCCUUGCUUCACUUGAGACAAUUGAUUUGACAUAAAAUUGCUUGACAAUAUCCAAAGAGAACAUAUUAUUGGGUUGUGCAACAUUUUUCCAUCCAUACUUGUCAACAAGAAGUUGAACCCACCGAAUUCUUCUUCUUCUUCUAAAGUGACAAUAUUUUCCAAGAUUGGUGCACUUUUGAGAGUAAUCUCCUUGAACUUUUGAUUUGCUUCUUUAGAGAAAAAUGUUUUGCCUUUGGAGGUUAAUUUAGACUCUUUGGCAACCUCCUUGCCUUUCCUUGAAGAAUGCCUUUCACUCAUACAAAAUUUUAUUAACAUGCAAUUUCCAAUGCUAGGAGUUAGUCACAUAAAUUCAAGACAUAAUUAAUCAAAUUGGCACACAAGUUUUCCAUGCUCCAUACGGUUUCUUAUUAAAUUCAAGGUGUAAAAGUGUUUCAAAAAUUUUGUGUGUGAAGUUUUAUUUUGAUCAAAAUAACCCCAUAAUCACACUUUUUCAACCAAAGAAUCAUAUUUUCAACACUUUCACAAAAAGUACUCCAAGUAAAAAAAUUCAAGAUCAUUGCUUGUAGUAUGAAUUCCCAAACAGCCACAUACUCAAAUUGAUGCAUCAAAGCAGAAUUAUUUGAUGUUUCUUAAGGCUAUUGGUUCAUGAAAAAUUAGCAAUACAAGACAAAGUUUACAAGGAAAGUGCAAGUUUUUCCAAGGUAGUCAAUUUUGAGCAAUUAUCGACAUUUUUAUUGUUGUUUAUGGAAUGUUUUAAAUGUGUUUCAUGCCAAAUCAAAUCAUAUUUAAAGCCACAAAACAAAUUUCAAUGUGGUUUAAACUUUUGAUAUUUUGAACAUGAUUUUAGCUACAAACUUAUUCGACUUACCAAGUAUUUUCAUCAUCUGGUUGAACCACUUUUCGAACAUUUUGGCUAGCGAAACAACAACCCCUUUUUCAUUCUUUUAUGCAUCAUGAACUAAGUUAAGUUAAGUUAAAAGUGGUCACAAAUUUUGUGAUUCAACCAAAUGCAUAAUGUGAGAUAAUCUAGAAAAAAUUUCAAAGUCAAAACAUAGAUUUUUUUACUUUGUGAAAAUUUUCACGUGAGCUUAGUUUAGUCAUGUCUUAAAAACAGCAAACACGCAUAUUCAUAUGCAAAAAUAAGUAAAAGCAAGCAUUAUGUAUAUAUUCUUCACAAGAGUUCAAGAAUAUAAAGUUUUAUAAUUGUUGAUUUGAGAUUUUGUUUGAAAAAAAAAAUUAAUUUUGUUUUUUAGAAAAUUUCAAAAAAAUAUUUGUUUCAAGGAAGAACAUAAAAUGACAAAAAUCAAAGCUUCAUAAGAAGAAGAUUGAGAUACUUACAUAAUGAGAGAAUGAAAUUUGAACUUUUUGAGAGCUUUUGGAGAGAAGGGAAAAGAUAUCAAAAUGAGAGUUAUUAGUCCUAGGAAGUGAGUCAAGUUGGUCAAAAAGGUGAGGUAAUCAAGUGAUAAGAGGAUAAGAGGAAAUCCUCCAUUGAAGGGAUUUUGUCCAUUGGGCAGCCAUAUGGCAUGCCUAGCUAGACGUUGGGUGCCCCUGGCCAGGUUCUGGUCGUGUUGGCUGAGUUGACCAGCCUUGACUUGGCUUAGGCUUGGCCUUGGCUUGGCUGGGCUUGGCCCAAUCACUCCUUUUGCAUUUGUUUAAGCUUUUUGAUAUUUUUCGAAGUAUGUUCUUCUAAGACAUCAUAUGGCUACUAUUAUUUUAAUUGUUUUGAAAUAAUACAUUUUUAUGGCCUAAAUUUUUAUUUUCUCUUACUCUCUUUUUCAUUGGUGAACUUCUUUUUCUAAAAAUAAAUUAAAACGAAGAGAAGUAUGAAAAAGAAGAGAUAUAUUUAUAUAGGAUUCAAAAUACACUUAGUUGCCUUCCACCAAGUGCUUCUUUAACGUCAUUAGCUUGACACAUGUUACCUAAUAAGCUUUAAUCCACCACCUUUUAUGGCUCUGAAGAGCCAACUUCACCUCAUAUGAUAGCAUUAUAGUGUUUUCUUCGAUUGACUUCAGUGUUGGCUAGGAAAGUUGAUUUCUAAUUCUCAACCAACUGCUUGGCAAGCUGCCUAAUCUGUAUUUCCAUAUUUCGUAGAGAAGCAUUUGUAUUCUUCUGAUUGGAUAUUGUCAAUUGCAAGACUUGAUUCAUCUUGUCCUCUAAUUUAGCAUUCUUAUCAUGUGUGGGAUGUUGGAACUAAUUGUUCCUCUAGUAAAAUUGAGGUGGUGGUUUAUGAGGGUUGUCUUGUCGCCAAGGCUGAUUUCCUUGAUACUAAUUAUUACCCCCUUUGGGUAAUUACUCUGAUAAUUCUGUCUUGGCGGGUUAGCAACUAAAUGGACAUCCCCAUUUUUGGGAUGACAAUGGCCUGCUUCAUAUUCCUCAACACAGUUGUCACAUCUAAAGACUUACUUCUUUGAAGAUUCUCUUUGUUGCCUAGGAAGAUCAUUCAAUUUUUGGUUCACCUCGUCCAGUUCUCGUUGAAGUAGUUUGUGUUGGGAAAAUAUAGCAUCUAUUGGUCCCAACUCAAGAAUCCCAACUCUCCUUGGUGAUGGUUCUCUUUGGUGUUGACUUUUUUGAUCAUUUAAAGUCAUUGACUCAUUCAUGUCAAUAGCUUCCGGCGAAGGUUUUGUCAUCUAUUGUCCCCCCACAGUUGCAUUAAAAAUUCACUUUUGUUGCUGCUAUAAUCCAUUUAUAAAGAUAUGGAUUUGGGUCUGAACAUCGAACCCAUGAUCCAAAAAAAAAAUUAGCAUAGAUUUAAAUCUAUCCUAGGAUUCACAAUGAUUUUAUCCAGUCGGUUGCACAAAAGUUAAGAUGGUUGUCUUCAAAUCCAUAAACUUCCCUUGCGGAAAGUAUCUGCUCAUACUCUUCUCCUCCACCAGGUUUCAGUUGUUCUGAAUAUGUGGAGGAAGAUCCAAAAACCAUUCUUUUCCUUUUCCAAUGAGAGUCAAAGGAAAGAGCCUUAGAAAAAUGGUCUCUUCUUCUGCCUCAGAGAUUCCAGCAGUUCUGACCAAUUGAUAAACUUUUCUUAGAUAAUUGUAGGGAUCUUCAUGAUCUAAGCCUUCAAAUGGAUUGGCAAACAUCAGUUGUACUGAUAAGUGUGAAAUUAUGCUACAUUUGCAUUGCAUUUAGCUUGCAUUUUAGGAGAUAAUUAAGAAUUUAGGAUUGUUUUUAAUUUUUAUUUCUCUUUGUUCAGGUUGAGUGGGUAUUUUUGAGAUUGGGUGCAAGAAGAUGAAAUUCAAUGUUGAGGCUAUGUGAAGAGCAAUUAGAGGGC